ensembl:snoRNA
UUGCUGUGAUGAUAACCCACUUGGUUUCGCUUACUACUGAUGUGCAGUGGGGACAGUUCCACUUGGCUGUCUGAGCAG